AAACUGAAACGGCACUAUAUUAUUGUUUUCAAAAAGGUCAACCUUUUUCAUAAAUAAGUGAAGUGAAUUGUUUACUGUGUAAAUCUUGUGCCUAUAUAUAUCUAGAAUUAAAAAAUUGUGAAAUCAAAAUAUCAUAUACAUAGUCUUAAAUUUGAAAUUACACAAGUAAAAAUUACUUAUCAUUCUGUGCAUAAUGGGAGAUAUUGCAGGUGAAUGUAGAUUUUGCAAUAAAAUUGGCUACCACAGAGAUUUAUCGAAGGAAUAUUUGUCGAACGGAACACGAGAAAUUUACUCAACAAUAAUUCAAGAUUGUUAUAAUAUUACUUUAACCCCGUCAUGUUCCAGUACUGAUUCUCUGAUCUGUCUGGGUUGUGCAUGUACACUUAAAGAAGCUAAAACCUUUCAUGAUUUGGUCCUGCAAGCAGAGGAGAGGAUUAAAAGUACUGAGCUAGCAUCAGACUCAACAUAUUUUAAUGAAUUGGAAUUCAAAGAGCCGGCUGCCGAAGCUGCUGUCACUGUCAAACAGGAGCCGCAGGAACAGCCAUGCGGCGACGAAGAAAGCUCCAGUAUUUUCCCUUCUAUGCCCAAAAACGCGAAGGGUUUUAAUAAGUUAAUGAACUGUAUCCCAUUUAAUACGGUUUAUUCGGAGUCAGGCGUCAGGCGAUGCUAUAAAUGUCGCAAAAGUGGACACUUGGCAAAGGAGUGUGUUGAACGCCAAAACUCUGCCCCUGUCUUCAGCAAUACCCCUGGUGCCGCGGGCUGCACGCAAAAUAGAACUAAGGGCUCUAUACCUCUGCGCUGUUUCAACUGCAAUCUAAUAGGACAUCACAUACGGACCUGUCCAUUACUGAUUGGCGGACCUAAUCAAUUCAACAACAAAAAUACAACCACCUGAUCUUCCGACAUCGGUCUUCUAACAACUGGAAACACGGGUAACCUGAAGUGUUGAUAAUUCGUAAGGCCAUGUGUCAUGUAGUGAACACUGUCAGCGCCCGUGGGAGCAGAACCGGAUGUAAGGUGUCAUGAAGACAUCUAACAUAUUUUGUUACACUUUAUUUAAAAUUAAUAUAGUAUGAUUGAUUAUAGAAAUUAAAUUUGUAACCAAAAUUUAUGAACGAUGCGGGACUCGAACUCGCGUGUGAGACGCGAAGUAAUUAAAAUAAUAAAUUGUUUAGAUUUGAAACAGCGACAUGAUCUCAAGUCAAUUUCCUAAUAUGUUAUUAGGGUUGAGCAAGUUAUCAACUGUUAAGUAGAUCCUGUAGAUGGAGCCGUAACCUGAGAGUUGAACAUAACAUACAUUAGCCCAGUUGGUAAUAGCACUCGGACAGAACGCGAGAGGCGCAGAGUCGAGUUACGCAUCUUUCAUAAAUUUUGGUUACAAAUUUAAUUUGUGUAAUUAAUACCAGAAGUGAGCGAUAUCACUUUGACAUAACAAAUUGUUCAGUAUGAUCUUUUCCAGUAUGGCUAUGUUUUGCAUUUACCGUCUUAUGUAUAAAGACGGCAUCUAAUUAAACCGAUUUUUUGUUUUGUUUUGUCCCUUUCUGGCAAGGAAUUGUAAAUAAAUAAAAGCACGGACGUCUUUGAUAA